CCUGGUUGAUCCUGCCAGUAGUCAUAUGCUUGUCUCAAAGAUUAAGCCAUGCAUGUGUAAGCACACACUGUUUUAAAAGUGAAGCCGCGAAUGGCUCAUUACAACAGCCACAGUUUAUUAGAACUUACAAUCAUGGAUAACUGUGGUAAUUCUAGAGCUAAUACACGCACAAAAACUUCAACUGAAUUGGUUGAAGUGCUUUUAUUAGAACAAAAACCGAACGGCGUUUGGCGAAUGUUUGAACGUCGAAACUGUUUGGUGAAUCUGAAUAACUAUUUCUGAUCGCAUGGUCUAGCACCGGCGACAUCACUUUCAAGUGUCUGCCUUAUCAACUUCGAUGGUAGUCUAUGCGACUACCAUGGUGAUAACGGGUAACGGAGAAUCAGGGUUCGACUCCGGAGAGGGAGCCUGAGAAACGGCUACCACAUCCAAGGAAGGCAGCAGGCGCGCAAAUUACCCACUCCCAGCUUGGGGAGGUAGUGACGAAAAUAACGAGACGAUUCUCGUUUGAGAAACGUUAUCGAAAUGAGUACGCUUUACACACGCUAACGAGUAGCAAUUGGAGGGCAAGUCUGGUGCCAGCAGCCGCGGUAAUUCCAGCUCCAAUAGCGUAUAUUAAAGUUGCUGCGGUUAAAACGCUCGUAGUUGAAUUGUGGUCUUAGACAACAGUCCCCCUACAUAGGUGUGGCACGGUUGCUCGAGAUCUUCAUUCGUGGUUGCUGUUGUUGCUCUUCAUUGAGUGUCAAUGGUGCCUCGAGAUUUUACUUUGAAAAAAUUAGAGUGCUCAAAGCAGGUUGUGAUGCCUGAAUAAUGGUGCAUGGAAUAAUAGAAUACGAUCUCGGUUCUAUUUUGUUGGUUUUCGAACCGGAGAUAAUGAUUGAAAGGAACAGACGGGGGCAUUCGUAUUGCUGCGUUAGAGGUGAAAUUCUUGGAUCGCAGCAAGAUGAACAAUUGCGAAAGCAUUUGCCAAGAAUGUUUUCAUUAAUCAAGAACGAAAGUUAGAGGUUCGAAGGCGAUCAGAUACCGCCCUAGUUCUAACGGUAAACUAUGCCAACCAGCGAUUCGCCGAAGUUCAUUUAAGACUCGGCGAGCAGCUUCCGGGAAACCAAAGUGUUUCGGUUCCGGGGAAGUAUGGUUGCAAAAGCUGAAACUUAAAGGAAUUGACGGAAGGGCACCACCAGGAGUGGAGCCUGCGGCUUAAUUUGACUCAACACGGGAAAACUCACCCGGCCCGACACUGGAAGAUUGACAGAUUGACAGCUCUUUCUUGAUUCAGUGGGUAGUGGUGCAUGGCCGUUCUUAGUUGGUGGAGCGAUUUGUCUGGUUAAUUCCGAUAACGAACGAGACUCUACCCUAUUAAAUAGUGACAGUAUUGUAUUUUUUGUGCUGAUCACUUCUUAGAGGGACUGGCAAAUUGAAAGCUGCACGAAAAAGAGCAAUAACAGGUCUGUGAUGCCUUCGAUGUCCGGGGCUGCACGCGCGCUACAAUGAAAGCGUCAACGUGAGUUACGUCCUUACCUGAAAAGGUUUGGCAAUCGAAUGAAACGUUUUCUUGAAUGGAAUAGGGAAUUGCAAUUGUUUCCCUUGAACGAGGAAUUCCCAGUAAGCGUGAGUCAUUAGCUCGCGUUGAUUACGUCCCUGCCCUUUGUACACACCGCCCGUCGCUACUACCGAUUGGAUGAUUUAGUGAGGUGUUUUGACUGGCGCCAGUAGUCGGAUGUAUUCGGCUUCGCGCCGGGAAAUUUCCCAAACCAAAUCAUCUAGAGGAAGUAAAAGUCGUAACAAGGUUUCCGUAGGUGAACCUGCGGAAG
rnacentral:rRNA from 1 species